rnacentral:misc_RNA from 1 species
AAUAAAAUAAAAAUGAAUUAAAAGAAACCCCAUUUAACCAUGAGACCUAAUGAUCAAAACAUUCAUUGCCUAUUAGGCAAGUUUCUCUUUUAACCAUCCAUAUACUUCUUCACACAAACCACCCUUCAAAAACCAACAAAAACAAAAGAAUAAAAUGAAUGGAAUCAGAUUUUAAAUGUAUCAACGGGUUGUAAUUGUUUUCACAGUUUCAGAAGGCUUGCAAUGAACUAACUAUUUGGAAUAUGCAACCUUCUUAACUGAGUUGAGGCCUAGUUCAGGAUCUAACCUCAUGAUGAAUCUAUAUACAACAAAGAAUACAGAGUUUCCUUUUUUACACAAAUUAAAGAAAGCAAUUGGUUCUCGGAAACCUGUAUGCAUCCCAUCUCUUAACAGACUACAGAGGUAAUUGAGUAUCAUAUUCAAAAGCUUGGAGGCUCUUGGUAUUCCUUAGGAGUCUCAGGUGGUCUGCUGUAAACAUCAUCAAAAUGAAGAUUUAUAUUUUCUCCUGCUUCAAGGUCAUCAUCCAUGAAAGUUGUUCGUGACAACCUGUGAGAACUCCUCCAAUUCAAGUGCUGUUCUUGUUCCUCUAAGCUCCGCUCUGAAAAAUUAUCAUAGAAAUUAUCUGAAGUGAAGCGGUUAAAAUCGGGAGGCUCAAGAAAACUUGUCUGGGGCUGUGCACCAGGUUGGCCACUUCUGGCCCACCAAUGGCUCCUCUUGGAAUGUGCAAAAUUGCUGACAUCAUGUUGUUGAAGUACACUCUCCCGGAAGAAAGGAGUAGAUGUGGAAGCCCCCAAGUGAGAUUCUGUUCGAUCUUCAUAAUGGUGACGCCAACGCUCAUCAUCAUAUACAGCCUCAUUUUGCGUAAAGUUGGGCUCCAUCCAAUGAUCUCCAGGAUGUUGCCCAGUCACUUCAAAGGGUACUGCUGGAAUGUCUCUCCCAUAAUUAGUUGAAGUCUGCGAGGUAUAGUACCAAUCAAGAAGAUAUGGGUGACUCUUUUGGUCUUCAUCAAUUAGCCACAAAGAACCCAAAUCAAAGCCAGAAGUAUAAUGAGGCAUUUCCCUGGAAAAAGGGGUAUUUCUAUUUCCAGGGCCUCUCAAAUUGGAGCUUCCUUGCCACGUUCUAGGAUGAGAAUGGACAAGUCCAAAUCCGUGUCCUUGCAACUUUUGCUUCCUGAAAUUUCUAAGAUUUGACAAGAACUGCUUUCCAUGGGCAUUUGGUUCCCACGAAGGAUAGCUGCUCUGGAAACUCAAAAAUGAUUUCUCCAUUUUGCCUUGAGAGCUCCUCUGGGUGCGUGGUGUAUGAUAAGGUGAACCAUAAUUGCUAUUGCCAUGAUUUUGAAAAUCAAAAGCACUAAAACUGCACACAUGGCCAACACCUUCAAUAUUCACCGUGAAAUCUGCAAUGAACUGUAGGAUGUCAUCCACCCGCUGCAAAAUAACACAGGAUAUCAGUUUAAAAACUAGCAUAUGCACACAACAGCAACAACAACAAUAAAAAUAACUAAGCCUUUAUACCAAAUAGCAUAUGCACACAUGACAAAAAAAAGUGGCAUAGAUACCUUUGGAACAACAAAUAAAAGCAAGAAUGGGGUGAGGAAAAUCGAUGCCAUCUCUUCGAGUAACAUCAUUCCAGUAUACUACGCCAAAAAAUACAAAUCAUUGAGUAGCAAACAGAUCAAAACUCUCUGUCAUAUGGUUGUUGGAAAGGUUCGUGUGUGGUAGAGGGCACUGUUCAAUUGAAUCUCUCAUAUAAGACCUGGAAUUUUGCAGUAUUACCUGAAAUAGGUUUUCAAACUCUCUCUGGACAGUCUCAGUAUUUUCUUUGCCCCGCCAUCUCUUUGGCAUAAAAUGUGUAUGUUGGACCACCAUAGACAUAGCCCUCUCUGGUUCAAGGACAAGAAGUUCAUCUGUAAUUGCAGCCCGGCCGAUGGCUGUUAUGGUUCCAAAAACAGCAGCAUACCAGAACAAAUUGCGACCAAAUAUAUGGCCUUCUAGUAGAGACUCUUCCAGAAAUGCAAUGAUAAUCAGGAUAGCAGCAAAGCCUCCAGAAACAAAAGAUAUGAACUUGGCAAUAAUUGAAAUAAUAGGUGAGGGGAAUUGCUUAAGAUAAUCGGAAGCAAGCAUUAUACUGCCAUUGAUCCGGUGCUUGAACAAAUGGUCAACCUCAUUGAAUUCCCUAAAAAUCCACUUUGAUAAAUUUGACCAUCUUCGAGAUGAUGCUGUGCUUGGAUGAUUAUAGAACUGUUCAGCAUGCCUUAGAAAGAGAUACACAAGCAUGAAUAUAACCAGGAAUGGUGAAAGGAGAAGAAUUGCAAGCCCAACUACCAUGAGCCUUUUCUUUAAGGUUUUAGGAUUAGAAAUAAAGUCUCUCCUAACACAAAAGUUUCGAUCAAACAUGCUCUGCAGAAUGCACCAAUUUAAGGUCCAUUCAAGGGUCUUUGUUAGUAUUAAACGGUACUGUGUUCCAUUGGAACCAGAUUUGACAAUUGGACCAGCACCUGGAACCCAUGAGGAGAUUGGAAAAGCAAGCACUCCUUUAUUAAGCAUUCCAAUUAAGUAAUUCUCCUUUCGCAUCAAUCGCAUCACGACAUCAUAAGCAGAAAGGUCCUUCACCACACAGAGUUGCUGUGAACUUUGUAACUGUACAACCUUUUCAAGAAUUGUUGCCCAUGGCAUGGUUUGAAUUUCAUUGUCUGUAACAUGGAGACUGUUGUAAUAGAAGUGACGAAUCCCAAGAAUGUCCCUUAGUUGCGCAAAGAACCUCAAAAAACAGAAGAUCCAGUAGAUAGAAAAUAAACCCAAAUAUCCAACAAUAAUAGCUUUUGAAAUUGUUAGAGGGGUUAAUGGGUGCUGAUGAAGAGCUUCUUUAGCAAGAUCACAGGGCUUGAUUCCAGAUUCAACAGCAUCCAUCCCACACUUGGCAUUACGAAGACCAUUCCAAUCAACAUAUAGUAAGAAAAAUCCUGAAAAACAGAUGGUGAACCCCAAACUCAAAAGUUCAACAAUCCACUUUAUGAUAAUGCACCAAAGCCCUUUCUCACAAUAAUAACUAUACAGCCUUUCAAAGAAGAGGUCCAAAUCAGCAAUUGGUUCCACAUUCAAGCUCUCGCCAUUAAGAAGCCCCGAAGGGCUCUCACUACCAGGACUGGGUACCCUUCCAUAGUCAGACAAUUCAAUCUCAGGAGGCACAUCCCUAAGCAAGCCUGUUGUCAAAGUUGAUUCACCAUGUGAUCCCCAUUUAAAUAUGCUGAGAGCAUUAGAACCCUUCUGCCUACUGAACAUCAUUCACAAACAAUGGUAGUAGGCAAAGACAACCGGUCCAUUCCCAAAAAUGCGUAUUUUGUUAAAGAAAAAUUCUUUUCAUUUAUCAAAGGUCUUCCUGGAAUCCGAUCAAUUUUUGGUCCAGCUGCAACAAAAAUUUGAACCUCCUCUACUGCGACCCAGCAGAGUAAGCCUUGAAAACGAAAAGUAGGAAUUCAGUGGCACCAAGUAAAAUUGAUUGCACUGAAGUCGAAAAGAAGAAAAGAAUCGGAUGAUAAAGGAGCAGAGGGCACAGAUAGAGAUAGAACAAUAAAGGAGGCGUUUUUAUUACAGAAAAGUUCCGGCUUAAAGCGGUGAAUAAUUGAGAAAAAUUAAUUGUGUAGAAACCCAAGAGAGAAGAAAAAGAAAGGAACUUGGGCCUUUGAUAGCGUGAAGGAAAGAUGAAAUUUUGCAGAUUUUGUGUCUAUUUAAGGAAUUUUAAUGGAGAUUUCUUUUUUCCAAUUGCAUGUUCAACCGUAUAAUGUUAUAAAAAAAGGCCUGGC